CCUACGGUGCGCAGCAGUGAGGAAUAUUGGUCAAUGGACGAGAGUCUGAACCAGCCAAGUAGCGUGAAGGAUGACUGCCCUAUGGGUUGUAAACUUCUUUUAUAUGGGAAUAAAACAGGGUAUGCAUACCCUCUUGUAUGUACCAUAUGAAUAAGGAUCGGCUAACUUCGUGCCAGCAGCCGCGGUAAUACGGAGGAUCCGAGCGUUAUCAGGAUUUAUUGGGGUUAAAGGGAGCGUAGGUGGAUUGUUAAGUCAGUUGUGAAAGUUUGCGGCUCAACCGUAAAAUUGCAGUUGAAACUGGCAGGCUUGAGUACAGUAGAGGUGAGCGGAAUUCGUGGUGUAGCGGUGAAAGGCUUAGAUAUCACGAAGAACUCCGAUUGCGAAGGCAGCUCACUGGACUGCAACUGACACUGAUGCUCGAAAGUGUGGGUAUCAAACAGGAUUAGAUACCCGGGUAGUC
rnacentral:rRNA from 1 species